rnacentral:rRNA from 1 species
AGAGUUUGAUUCUGGCUCAGGACGAACGUUGGCGGUGUGUCUAAGGCAUGCAAGUCGAACGAGAUCGCUUUCUUCGGAAAGCAUUAUAUCUAGUGGCAGACGGCUGAGUAACGCGUAAGUAACUUACCCUAGAGUGGGGAAUAACACAGAGAAAUCUGUGCUAAUACCGCAUACGAUUUAUUGAUAAUUUCUAUAAAUGAAAGAUUUAUCGCUCUUGGAUGGGCUUGCGUCCUAUCAGGUAGUUGGCGGGGUAAUGGCCCACCAAGCCUAAGACGGGUAGCUGGUGUGAGAGCACGACCAGCCAGAGGGGGACUGAGACACGGCCCCCACUCCUACGGGAGGCAGCAGCUAAGAAUAUUGCACAAUGGACGAAAGUCUGAUGCAGCGACACCGCGUGAGGGAUGAAGGUUUUAGGAUUGUAAACCUCUUUUAUUAGGGAAUAGCAAGGAAGGUACCUAAUGAAUAAGCUACGGCUAACUACGUGCCAGCAGCCGCGGUAAUACGUAGGUAGCGAACGUUGUCCGGAAUCACUGGGCGUAAAGGGUCCGUAGGCGGUUUGAUAAGUCUCAUAUGAAAACUUCAAGCUCAACUUGGAGAGGUUGUGAGAUACUGUCAAACUAGAGACUGUUAGAGGUAAGUGGAAUUCCAGGUGUAGUGGUGAAAUGCGUAGAUAUCUGGAGGAACACCAGUGGCGAAAGCGACUUACUGGGACAGUUCUGACGCUAAGGGACGAAAGCGUGGGGAGCGAACCGGAUUAGAUACCCGGGUAGUCCACGCCGUAAACGAUGAUUGCUAGGUUUUCGGGGCAUCGACCCCUCGUGAGCCGAAGUUAACGCGUUAAGCAAUCCGCCUGAGUAGUACGGCCGCAAGGCUAAAACUCAAAGAAAUUGACGGGGGACCGCACAAGCAGCGGAGCGUGUGGUUUAAUUCGAUGGUAAGCGAAGAACCUUACCAGGGUUUGACAUGUAAGUAGUACUGAACCGAAAGGGGAUGGACCCGCAAGGGAGCUUACACAGGUGUUGCAUGGUUGUCGUCAGCUCGUGCCGUGAGGUGUUGGGUUAA